AUGCUCCUUCCAUCCAUGGCUCCUCUCGUCUUCCUACUCCUAUUCGGCCAAAUCCUACUCUGCACAGCCGUCGACACCAUCACCUCCACCACACCGUUGUCCGGGUCACAGCAGAUUGUGUCCCAGGGCGGCAAAUUCACCUUGGGCUUCUACUCCCCACCGCAAGGUAACACCACCUCUAGCAAUUACUACAUAGCCAUAUGGUACAGCAACAUACCACUGCCAACCACCGUGUGGACGGCAACCACCAACGUGCCGGUGUCUGACCCGACCACCGCCUCCUUGGAAAUCACCAGCGACGGCAACCUUGUCCUCCUUGAUCAAGCCAAGAACCGACUGCUAUGGUCGACCAAUGUAAGUAUAGCAUCCAACUCCACCGUGGCCACCAUCAGGGACAGUGGUAGCCUCGAGCUCAUUGAUGCCUCCAAUUCAUCGAUAGUUUACUGGCAAAGCAUAGACCAUCCAACAAACACCUUGCUUCCAGGGGUAAAGCUCGGGCUGAACAAAAUCACUGGUGUUAGCCAGAGGCUUGUUGCUUGGAAGAGUGAGGCAGAUCCAUCUCCUGGGUUGUUCUCGCUGGAGCAUGACCCAAACGGCACACCACUUUAUUUCGCGCAGUGGAAUGAUUCCAUAAGCUACUGGGCUAGUACCCCUUGGGACUUCGAUCUCCCGGGGAUGGUGGCCUUGCGAUUCGUCAACAGCUCCACAGAAAGUUACCUCUUGUACUCGACGAAAGACGACUCGGUCAUCACACACAUCAUCAUCGACAUUAGCGGGCAGCUCAGGUUGUUGACAUGGCUGGAUUCCUCACAGCAGUGGAUAUUGAUCUGGACCCAGCCACAUACGGAGUGUGAGGUGUAUGCGCGCUGUGGGGCAUACGGCAGCUGCAACCUCAAUGCCCUGCCGUUCUGCAACUGUGUCAAGGGGUUCAGUCAGAAUGACUGGGACCUUGACGAUUACAGUGGUGGGUGCAAGAGGAACACACCAUUGCAGUGCCAGACCCACUCGACUUCUGCACAUUCUCGGUCUGAUAAGUUCUAUGCCAUGGAAGAUGUGAGGGUACCUGCUAAUGCUCGGGGUGCAGUGGCAACAAGCUCUCAGGAAUGUCAGGUGGCUUGUCUGAAAAAUUGCUCCUGCUCUGCUUACACUUACAAUUACACUGGGUGCUUUGUUUGGCAUGGGGACCUGCAGGUUAACCUCGGAGAAGGAUACAGCAAAUUUUUUGGAGAUGGCACAUUCUUCCUCAGGCUUGCAGCAUCCGAGCUACCAGAUCAGCAAAGGAAGAAAACAACGAUCAUUGGCUCAGUUAUUGGUGGAGUUGCUGCAUUUUUUAUAAUCCUUGCAAUUGUGUUGUUCUUUCUAUCUCGGACGUGCCGCCGAGACAGGACUUUUUGGAUAUCCAAGACUGCUGGGGCCGCACUGACUGACUUCAGAUACAGUGAUCUGCUGGAUGAUAUUCAAAGCAUUGAUUCACUUCUUCUCGAUCUGUUAACUCUAAGAGUGGCUACAAAUGACUUUGGCGAAGGAACUAUGCUUGGUAAAGGAGGUUUUGGAAUGGUUCAUAAGGGAGUCCUACCUGACGGUAAACAAAUAGCAGUAAAAAGGCUAUCUCACAGUUCCAGACAAGGAAUAGGUGAACUGAAAAGUGAACUAGUCCUUGUUGCUAAGCUUCGCCACAGGAAUCUUGUGAGCCUAAUUGGCGUUUGUUUGGAAGAACAAGAGAAAAUACUUGUGUAUGAAUUUAUGCCCAACAGAAGCCUUGAUACCAUUCUUUUUGAUGUUGAGAAACGCAAAGACCUAGAUUGGGGAAGGAGGUUCAAGAUUAUCAGUGGAGUUGCUAGGGGAUUACAAUAUCUCCACGAAGAUUCUCAAUUGAAGAUAGUUCACCGGGACCUGAAAGCAAGCAACAUUCUGUUGGACUUUGAUUACAACCCUAAGAUUUCUGAUUUUGGCUUGGCAAAGAUAUUUGGAGGGGAUCAAUCAGAAGAUGUCACUAGACGUAUUGCCGGGACAUAUGGAUACAUGUCGCCUGAAUAUGCCAUGCAUGGUCAAUACUCAGCAAAAUCGGAUGCGUUCAGCUUCGGCGUUUUGGUUUUGGAGAUCGUCACGGGAAGAAGAAACAACGGCUCCUGCAACUCCGAGCAAUAUGUUUAUCUCGUAAAUCUUGUAUGGGAACACUGGACCAGGGGAAAUGUCGUCGAGUUGAUCGAUCCAUCCCUUAGCGGCCAUCCUUCUCACGUUGACCAGGUGCUGAAAUGCAUCCGAACCGGGCUGCUGUGUGUGCAGAACAGACCUGAAGAUAGGCCGGCAAUGUCGUCGGUAAAUGCCAUGCUUACCAGCCAGAGUGUCCGUCUCCCUUCUGUUUCCAUGCCAGCCUUCUGUGACAGAUUGAGUGGAUGCAGUGAUAAUUCAGAAUCGGAGUCUUCGAAUGGAAUGACCAUCACAAAGCUUGAGCCAAGAUGA
rnacentral:rRNA from 1 species